rnacentral:tRNA from 1 species
GCCAGCGUGGUGCAGUGGUUUGCGUGUUGGACUAUGACUCUGGACACCAGGGUUUGAUUCCCAGCUCCACCA